GUGCCUGCAGGAUUAACAGGUCCCAACACUGCUACCAUUUUGCUCAUUUUGUCAUCUAUUACCCACAUUAUUAGCCAAUCAUUUAAAAAUGGGAAAUGU
rfam:Zea mays cultivar B73 chromosome 6, whole genome shotgun sequence.